UCCAAAAUGGCUGCUGCACUGAUCUUUAUAGGCCCAAACAGCCCUGAAAAUUAGCCUGAGACAGGCUGCAGCAGUGAUCUAAGAGGCCAGUGGGGGGAGGGGGAAUCUUUGCAGACCCCCCCGCCCACCGGGGCCCUCAGGAAGCCCCCCGAAGGGGGUACAGCUCCAGUGCCCCCUCAAUAAUGUUCAACUCAUCUUUCAUCAAGUCGUUAAAUGGCUGUGUCAGCUUCAGCAUCUCCAUCAGCUUUUCUCGAUUGUAGAUGGUACCGAUUUCUUUGCCAAGCAAAAAGUUCAGGAACCUGCUGAUAGGGAGGACCCUGAAGACACACCUGUUUUCCCAAGCCUUCAACUGAGAUUGAAUUUUUAAAAAUAAUGAUGUGUUUUUAACGUGUUUUUAUCUAUAAUUUUUAUCUUGUAAUGAAUUUUAAAUGUGUUCUAUUGUAUGUUUUAAUUUGUAAACUGCCUAGAGAUUUUUAUACUAGGCGGUAUAUACAUUCUAUAUAUAACUAAACAAACUGCUGGGCCUAUACACACAAGUCAAGCAAUGUGUGUUUCAAUUCACAAAUUAUGGGCAGAGAAAUAACUGGGUGGGCAGGCUAGGGGCUUAUAAUAUUUUUUAAAAAGCAACAACACAAACGUGUCUGCAGGACUCAGGACAGGAAGAGUGCUGAGACAGCCUAGCUGAAUUAAUUUUUUAUUAAUGCUAGUAGCACUGGAACAGGCUCAUUUCCUCUUUAAAAAAAUUAUUUGGAAGGGGAAAAAAGAAUUAAUUAUUUAAACCACUACUAGGCUACGCUACCUGUCUAAAGUUGAACCACCUACUACCUAGCUAAAGGGGAUCCGGCCUCUUUAAACUCUAAAGCUACACACUGAAGAACCCCUAUUUAAAACCUAUUCUAAAUAUCACAAAACUUUUAAAAUUCAGUUAAACCCCCAAACCUUAACCUCCCUCCAAACAGGGAAAAAAUAAAUCCCAAAUACACAAUUCAAGAGAGACUAGAGACGUGUGUGUGUGUAAUGGUGUGGUGUAUGUGUGCUAAAAUAUAAAUGGCUGGGCCACUCUCACUCGGUUGAAGGCUUAUCCAAAUGCUGGGUCUCUGUAGUCCACUUCUGAGGAUCUGGUCUCAGUCAGUCUUCCUUACUCUUCAGAUGGGACAGCCUCUCUGGAAAAUUGGUGGCCACUAGGCUGGCUGGUCACAUCUGGGGCUGGAAGCUGCUUCAGGCAGGCAGGCAGCAGUGAUGAUCCUCUCAGUAGUAGGAAGAAGUUUAAAAAAUAAUAAUAAUAAGAAAAACUAAUAAAAAUAUCUUUUCUGCCAACUCUCUUUCUAAAAAAUAAAUAAAAAUAAAAUGCAGGGGAGAAUGACAUGGGCUGGCAGCAAGACGCAGAGGCUGGCAGUGUGCAAGGCAAGCCUGCCCUGCAAGGCAGAAAAGGUUUUAAAAGGGGGGGGGAUUCUCCUCCUUCUCUCCCAAUCUGGUGGUUUCUUCCUAAAAAAAAAAAAAAAAAAAAGCUGGAAAAAUCAAUGCAGGAAGGCAGGCUGGGUGCCAGCUGGCAAUACUAUAAUAAUAGCAGCGCUAUGCUGGGCAAAAUGGAGGCAAUGGUGGACGAUAGGGGCAACAAGGCUAAGGCAAUCAGGCAAUAGAGCUCUCUCUUCUCCCACACGAGGCAGCAGCAGAAAGGGAGAAAAUAGCUAUGCUGGCCCUUUAAAUACCCUCCUGCAAAACCCUCCAAAACCUGCCCCCACCCUUGCCCCUUCCUCCACCUCCCCCUGGCCAAUGGGGGGUUAAUUUGGCUCCUGAACACCAAAUAUGGGCAUUCCUCUGCAGAUAGGACCUUUUCCAUUGAAGUCAAUGGAAGCUAAAAGGCGGGAAAUUCAAGCAAGAACUCAAAAUGGAGGAGGAGGAAGAAGCACUUUAUAGGCCACAAAAUGGAGGGCUGGAACCACAAAUUAUUCGGAGCCAAAAUGAAGGUGAUUUGUUUCAGCUCCAAAACAUUUCGGGAGGGCAAGAGGGUGAUUCGUUUCAUCAACGAAUCACCCAAAAUGAUCAGUUUCGGGUACAGAUCAUUCGGUACUCGAAACGUUUCACACAUCCCUACAUCACACUGAAUGAAGAGGGAUGAAAGGACAGCGAUUUCCCAAGGACAGGUACUAGAAAAUAAUGGCUGUCCCUGAGAAAAAAGGGGAGUAUAUGAUCUGUGAUGUGAUUCCAUACUAGUCUUGAUAUCUAUAUGCAAUCUCCAAGUUCAGUGAAAGGGUGUGUCUAAUACCAGUUGCUGUGAAUAAGCAACUGGAAAUGGUUAGUCCCACAAAUGGCUUGCUUCUGAGCUUUCCAGAAGCAGAGCCCUGAUAGUCAGAGAUCAGAUCAGGCUGCUAUUUACUGUAGUUAAGAAUCAAUAAGCACAGUAGUAUUAAGCACAGGUUUAAUCUAAUCUGUAGUCUGAAAGUAAGCGCUCGGGCUUUUGGUAUACAGAUGAAAAUAUAAGGACAAUUCAGAUCUCUGAUUCUGGUGAAAUUUAUAAUUGUAAUUACAGUAAGCUCUUGUGAUUUUAAGAACCAUUCACUUUUAUGUUCCUGCCAUAUGGCUGAAAAUGGAAUUCAGUACAGUAUCUCUUUGGAGAUACUCCUGAUAGGUAGCUUUUUGGGUUUGUUUGUUUUUUUUAAAAGCAUCCUAAACAAGAUGCCCUGUUGUCUAAAGUUAACAGCACUCAUGAAUAGGUAUUGAGGUACAGUAUUUUCCCCACCCUCCCUCAAGGGAUUUUUCUCCAUUAUGUUAUUUUAUUUUUUUCUUCCAGACACAUAAAUUGAGUUUUUCAGCAAAUAAUGACAGAACAUCUUUGGAGGAUAAAUGCCAGAUGCUUCUGUGUCUAUGUGUGUCAUCCUCUCCUUUCUGUUAUUCCUCUUCUACGUCUUCUACUUCAAUCUGUCUGCAUUACAGACAGAUAUUGCUUUCUGUUCUAUGGAGGUCAUUACAUUUGUAAUUGGAAACCUCACAAUUUUUCCCUCCUCCCAUCCCCUCCAGAUACAGCCAACAAUAGAAACUUCAGUGUUAGGCUCAAACUUCAUCUACAGAAAAGAAGUUAUAGUCACAGAGGAAAAUUGAUUUUUUCUCCUUUCUUUAAAUCUUCAAAAUAAACUCAAAUGCUGGUUAAAGGUAUUGAAUUAGAUGGCCUAGAAGUUGAAGAUUCUGGUGUGAAGAGUUAUGUAACUAAAAAGGAGUGCCAUUAUGUUUUUUUUUUUUUUAAAUGUAAAGGUAAAAGAUAGAGUGUGCUGUCGAGUUGGUUUCAACUCCUAGCGACCACAGAGCCCUGUGGUUGUCUUUGGUAGAAUACAGGAGGGGAGGGGUUUACCAUUGUCUCCUCCCAUACAGUAUGAGAUGAUGCCUUUCAGCAUCUUCCUAUAUCACUGCUGCCCAAUAUAGGUGAUUCCCAUAGUCUGGGAAACAUACCAGUGGGGAUUCGAACCGGCAGCCUCUGACUUUGAUUAUCAUCAAGUCAUUUCCCUGCUGCACCAUUAGGUAGCUUUUUAAAAAUGCACCACAACUUAAAAUAUUUAAAAAGAAUGUUGUCCUGUGGGAAGAAGCAGUUGCCAUCUGCUUUUUCAGUCCAGGCUGCACCAACACAACAGAAUUGUGUGAUCUGUGCAGAAGUCGCACAAGAUUCUGAGAUAUUCCUGUCUUCUGUAGCAAUAUAGCCAGAAUUUAUGCUUCAGAAACUUUAUGGGGUAAUGCAGGAAUAGAGAAGAAGAAAUUAAAUAGGGACCCACAGUGUAUGCCUAAAAUUGCUGUACACAUAUGCAUUUAGUCCACAAACAAGCAAUAGAACAUAUUAGUUUGCCCAUUUUCUGUGUAUUGCACAUUCAGAUAGUCUCCCUAUCUGCCUCCAGUUUUUUGUUUUAUAUGUUCUCAUGAGCUGAGCUACAUUUUGGUAGAUCUCAUACGCACAUGUAUGCACAAGUCUUGUUCACAUGUCAUGUUCAACCCAGACAAUCCAUCUACAGUUUAUGCACAUACAGAUCUGUACACAUAUGUUCAAGGCAUUCACACAAAUGUGCAUAUGUGUACAGACACUUGUAUGCACAUACAACGUAACAUAUGAAUAAGUCUAGAGUUGCUGCCAGCACAGCAGAAAGACCUGCAUGCAUAUGCAGUCCGCCAUGCAUAUAAGCAGCCUUCAGUGCCGAUGCAGAUGUACAUCAUGAUGCUCAUUCCAGGCCUUAGUGAACUGGUUGGAUGCAUCUUUUGAUGCAAAUGUGAAUAUAUCCACAUCUGGGGGCACCAGUUGACUCGCCCACAAUUGUAGAUAGAUUGGGACUAUUGUGUUCUAGAACUCAUGACCAGAUUUCAGAGAAGCCUAUAGCCCAUUCCACAUAUUAUGUUCCUCACUCAUAUGACUAGUGUACAGUGUACACAGGUACAGUUAUUCACACACUAUGCUCACACAGGUACAGUAGUUGACUUCCUAUCUGUACCAUACAUUUGAUGGGCCUGUACGUAGACUUACUUUUAAAAUGAACGCACGGACAGUCAUUUUCACAAAAACACAUAUGGGUGUACAGACAUCAACAUGGACAAUCUGUGUACACUCUGCACUCAUACAACAUAAUUUCUGGCAUCUUUACACUCAUACAAUUUCUGAAUAGGGCUUAUAUCUCUGUCUUAUGAUCCACAUAGAGUAACUGAAUAUGGCCAACCACCUUACUGGAAUCUAAACUGGCAUCCUUGCUCCUGAACAUCAUGUGCUUUAUUUGAAGGGGUGGUUCUGAAUUUGAGGUAAUGCUCCAUAUUCUAUCACAUGGAACAGAAAGUGAGAAUUCUUAAUGCAGACUAGUCUAACUGGACACAGGAACUCAGGCAAAAGGCACUGUAAGAUGAUGAACUCUAAUGAUGAUAAACUCCCGAUAACAAACUCUAAGAGAGGGGAGAGCUGGUCUUGUGGUAGCAAGCAUGACUUGUCCCCUUAACUAAGAAGGAUCUGCCCUGGUUGCAUAUGAAUGGGAGACUUGAUGUGUGAGCACUGUAAGAUAUUCCCCUCAGGGGAUGGAGCCACUCUGGGAAGAGCAGAAAGUUUCAAGUUCCCUCCCUGGCUACUCCAAGAUAGGACAAGAUUUUUGUUUAUUUUUAAUAGGACAAGAUUUUUUUAUUGAACCAACAAACUACCAAAGCAUGCAGUACAUUGCCAAAGCACAAUUAUAUACAAAGUGGUUGUUUGUACAUGAUAUAUCUACAAAGAUUUACACACAAGGAUUUGGAAACCCACAAGUUAUGAAGUAUAUGCAGGUAGAACUGUAACUCGGGGGUGGGAGAUUUCAAGGCACAUCAGGUAAUCGGGGGGGUUAUGUCCGAUGUCCAUUUCCACAAUUUGUCCCAUUGCUGUUUAGAAGAGAUACUCUUGUCUUUUUGCACAUAACCAUACAAACUUUUCCAGAAGAGAUUUACUGUCUCAUCUGCGUGAACUUCUUGGUCGCGUCUUCCCUCCGUAUUCCUAUGCAGGAGCAUUGCAUAAAUGACAUACAGGUUUACUAACCUGAUUACGAGAAGGGGAACGUUCCAGUUCCCUAGUAUGAGGGCACCCGUUCCGUCCCGUUUCCUUGAAGAUUUCUUUCUGGGACCUCGAAAGGAUAGACAACCGUCAGGUUAUGCACCGGGGGUAUCAGGAAAAUAACCUUUGGAACUUAGGAGAGGAUCCUAAGCUACCACCAAACUUACACAAUGGCAACAACUGAUAGGGAUUUCCAUGCCAUUUCAUCCUUUGAAUGGAGAGAUUUGUGAUUGGGUAAGGGGUAAAUUGUAUGUGGAUCAGAAACAGAUUGCGAAGCAGCAAACAUUUCAAGUGGGGGACUUUGUUCGAGCACAGCUGCCUUAUAAAGUGAAAAGGGGUUGUUCCUGAUAUUCUGGACAAAAACAAAUAAUUGAAAUCCAAGGAGAUUCUGUCAUAUUGGAUGAAGGAAAGAAAUGGAACAGUUCGAGACUUUCCAGCACGCAUACUAUGAGAAAAGAGGGAAGGGAGUCUGGUCUCAAGAGAGGAACUGGAGAGGACUUUGAUCUUGCCUCCAGUUUGGACUUCACAGAGGAGGCUGAGGAAAGUGAUGGACAAUCAUCUUCACCAGAAAGAACAUCACUAACAGCUCCUGUGCCAGAGAACCCAAGAAUUAAGAGAAGUGUGUGUGACAGGAGAACAUCUAAAAGACUUCAAGACUUAUUUUUGAAUCAAUUCAAUCCUGUUUGUUAUAAAGGGGAGAGAUGUAUUGUAUUCUAUCUAAUAUCUUCUUUGUCUUGUUGUUGAGAAGUUUGUCCUAGUGGGUAUCCUGUAGAGAGUGUGGUGGGUGAAGUCAGAAAGGAAAAGGGAGGGAAAGGAGAAGGAGAAAAUUGAAUUCUUUCUGAAUAAAUCUUAGUCAAAUCUAUAUAAGAUUACUUUGUGUUUCUGAAACAGCUAUAAAAUACUGAAUAUGCCUUUUGUGACACGAAGCAAAUAUAUCCAAGAUUUUCUUCAGAUCAGGAGACUUUGACAACUUUUCUUAAAUAGCCACGGUAGCCAAUGCACCGCAAGUUUUGUUGAAUGCUGGUGGAGUAUGUGCCUUAGUUUGUGCAUUUUGUUUCAUAAAAAGCAGUGACAUUGUCAAUGCUUGCUUGCUUGACAUUUCCAAACUUAUUCAGAAAAUGGGCCAGAUUCUUCUUAGAAAACACUGUUUUUGGGAUUAGGACAAACCCUCUUGUCUG